CUACGGGCGGCAGCAGUGAGGAAUAUUGGUCAAUGGGCGCAAGCCUGAACCAGCCAUCCCGCGUGAAGGAAGACGGCCCUAUGGGUUGUAAACUUCUUUUCUGUUCCAAGAAUAAGCCCUACGCGUAGGGUGAUGACGGUAGGACAGGAAUAAGCAUCGGCUAACUCCGUGCCAGCAGCCGCGGUGAAUACGGAGGAUGCAAGCGUUAUCCGGAUUCAUUGGGUUUAAAGGGUGCGUAGGCGGAAGCCUAAGUCAGUGGUGAAAUCCUGCGGCUCAACCGUAGAACUGCCAUUGAUACUGGGUUUCUUGAAUACAGUUGAGGUAGGCGGAAUGUGCAGUGUAGCGGUGAAAUGCUUAGAUAUUGCACAGAACACCGAUUGCGAAGGCAGCUUGCUAAACUGAUAUUGACGCUGAUGCACGAAAGCGUGGGUAGCGAACAGGAUUAGAUACCCCCGUAGUC
rnacentral:rRNA from 1 species